AAAUAAAUUAAUUAAUCAGAAGAGCAGAAAAUAUAAUAACAGGGUUCCGAAAAUAUAUCUGAGAGCUUCAAUCAGUCAGUUUCUGUGGAAACGACUGAUUCGCCAAGACAGAUAGAGGAAGCCUGAAAGUGAAGAGAUGACAUGUGACUGAGCACACACACUUAUAAAAAGACACACACACCGACUGGAGGAGGCGGUGAACGGCUUUCUGUGAUGACUCAGUAUAAUUAGCGAGCAUUAGUCUGCAGCUGAUUUACAGUUUCUUAACUCUGAUUAGAGGAAAACCUGCACAGACAAAAUGGAAACGGAGAGUGGGCAGAUGUCGGCGGCCUCGUCUGGUGUGGCUCGGGGUAGAACGCCGGGGUCGCUGAAACUUGCCCUGAACAGCAUCCCCAUUACAAACACAAAGAGGAUGCCACCCACUGCUGGAAUGGCCGGGGUCAAGUUGGAUGCUAGGAAGGGACAGCUGAAGACACAGAGAGAGAGGACAGUAAAAACAAACUGAAGGUCUCAGCCAAUCACAGGAGUCUGCAUGUGUUUGUUCAGGAAAAUAAAUAUACAGCAGGAGGCCAAAAACAA